ensembl:snoRNA Gm25769 small nucleolar RNA SNORA17
ACUGCUCCUAGAGGCAAGACAGCUACAGCAUUUAUAGGCACGUCAGUAGGUGGAAGAAAGGAGAGAAGCUAUGUCGACUCUCAGCAUUGUGACCUGUAAACAUCUGAGUGAUUAGAAAUCCUAUGAA